rnacentral:rRNA from 1 species
CAGGACGAACGCUGGCGGCGUGCCUAAUACAUGCAAGUCGAACGGUCUUUCUAUGGAAGCUUGCUUCCACUGAGAAGAUAGUGGCGAACGGGUGAGUAACACGUGGGUAACCUGCCCAUAAGAGGGGGGAUAACAUCCGGAAACGGGUGCUAAUACCGCAUAGUUUUCUUGAUCGCAUGAUCGGGAAAGGAAAGACGGCCUUUGUGCUGUCGCUUAUGGAUGGACCCGCGGCGUAUUAGUUAGUUGGUGAGGUAACGGCUCACCAAGACGAUGAUACGUAGCCGACCUGAGAGGGUGAUCGGCCACAUUGGGACUGAGACACGGCCCAAACCCCUACGGGAGGCAGCAGUAGGGAAUCUUCCGCAAUGGACGAAAGUCUGACGGAGCAACGCCGCGUGAGUGAAGAAAGGGUUUUCGGAUCGUAAAACUCUGUUGUCAGAGAAGAACAAGUUGGAGAGUAACUGCUCCAGCCUUGACGGUAUCUGACCAGAAAGCCACGGCUAACUACGUGCCAGCCGCUGC